rnacentral:rRNA from 1 species
AGCAGUCGCCGCGGUAAUACGAAGGGGGCUAGCGUUGCUCGGAAUUACUGGGCGUAAAGGGAGCGUAGGCGGACAUUUAAGUCAGGGGUGAAAUCCCAGAGCUCAACUCUGGAACUGCCUUUGAUACUGGGUGUCUUGAGUGUGAUAGAGGUAUGUGGAACUCCGAGUGUAGAGGUGAAGUUCGUAGAUAUUCGGAAGAACACCAGUGGCGAAGGCGACAUACUGGAUCAUUACUGACGCUGAGGCUCGAAAGCGUGGGGAGCAAACAGGAUUAGAUACCCCCGUAGUCCCUGUCUCUUAUAC